rnacentral:rRNA from 1 species
AUUGAACGCUGGCGGCAGGCCUAACACAUGCAAGUCGAGCGGAUGAAGAGAGCUUGCUCUCUGAUUUAGCGGCGGACGGGUGAGUAAUGCCUAGGAAUCUGCCUGGUAGUGGGGGAUAACGUUCCGAAAGGAACGCUAAUACCGCAUACGUCCUACGGGAGAAAGCAGGGGACCUUCGGGCCUUGCGCUAUCAGAUGAGCCUAGGUCGGAUUAGCUAGUUGGUGAGGUAAUGGCUCACCAAGGCGACGAUCCGUAACUGGUCUGAGAGGAUGAUCAGUAACACUGGAACUGAGACACGGUCCAGACUCCUACGGGAGGCAGCAGUGGGGAAUAUUGGACAAUGGGCGAAAGCCUGAUCCAGCCAUGCCGCGUGUGUGAAGAAGGUCUUCGGAUUGUAAAGCACUUUAAGUUGGGAGGAAGGGCAGUAAGUUAAUACCUUGCUGUUUUGACGUUACCGACAGAAUAAGCACCGGCUAACUUCGUGCCAGCAGCCGCCGUAAUAC